rnacentral:rRNA from 1 species
CAAAAGUUUGGUCCUAGCCUUAUUAUCAAUUUUUUCUCAAAUUACACAUGCAAGUCUCAGCACGCCCGUGAGGACACCCUUAUACCCUUAACCAGACUAAGGAGCUGGCAUCAGGCACAAUACCCGCCCACAACGCCUAGUCCCACCACACCCACAAGGGCACUCAGCAGUGAUAAAUAUUGCCUAUAAGCGACAGCUUGACUCAGUUAAAGAAAAUAGAGCCGGCCAACUCGGUGCCAGCCGCCGCGGCUAAACCGCAUGGGCUCAAACUGAUAUCAUCGGCGUUAAGCGUGAUUAAAGUCUUCCUACAACUAGAGUAAAACCUACACUUAGCUGUGAAAAGCUUGAUGCUAGAGAAAACCACAAACGAAAGUUACUCUAGAKAUUACUUGAAUACACGACAGCUGG